CUAGGCUAUACAGACCGUUGGUGGUGAGGACCGUGUGUCGUCGUCCGCCCCUCCGCCUACUCCUCGUCAAAAUCAAAGACGAACUCAACAAUCCCGGUUUCUCCAAGAUUCCCCAAAAUUCAAUCUCUCAAUCCCCCCGGUCUCUCCAGUCUCCUCGUCGCCACCCAAAAUCCGAUCUCUGUCCAAUCUCUUCGUCGCCCCCCCUCUGACUCCUCAUCACAGUCCAACGCGAGAGCAGUGGAUCCGGAUCCAAAUCCCUCUCAUCUUCCUCGCCCGGGCUCCUCCUCCUACCACCACGCCACCAGCAGCCCAAUCCGAGACGAACUCGAGCAAUGGGGUGUCCGUUCCACAAAAGAUGCUCGAUUCCCGGAAUCCUCUGCCACGAAGUAUCACCAGAUCGACAUUGCCGUGCCCGAAGUAUGCUUGCAGCCGCCGUCUCCUUCGCGCUUGCCCAGCAGGCCAGCAGUCACCUCGCGCUCGCGAACCCACCUCUUCUGAAAGGGGCGGCAGCUCAGAGUGCCCAAACGCGAGCCGAGGGGCAGGAUCCGAAAGGGAAGGGCAUCGCCCAAACGGCAGAGAGAGAGGGGGAGAGAGAGAGAGAGCAUGCAGGAAGGAAAGCAGAAUCGGGUGGAGACAGAGAGGAUUGGGGAAAACUUGCCAGCCGGCUGUCCCUUCUCCCACUGCUCUGAGCUCCAGCAUUUGUAGAUCUGCGCGAGCCCUGCAAUGCUAAGCAUCUCUGGAGCAGAUACUCCUCUUCCACCUCCAUGCCAGCUUAUCCUCUUUUAUCUGUUCUGUUUGGGCUGCCGCAUCGCCACCCGAGAGAUGCUCUGUUCUGUAUUCUCUCUUCCCCUCAAGUUUCUGAGUCUUUGUAUUUGCACAGAGUUAUACUCUGUACUAGGCUAAGUUCGCACAUUGUCCAUGUAAAGAUCAUGGUAACUUUCGUCAAAAUAAAAGGAUCAUGAUAACAAGGCAUAAGAUUUAGUAGUUUUCCUUUCAAAAUGAUCUUCUCUUUGUAUUAUGGUUUCUUCGAGUCUUGAUAAAAGAGCUCAUGAAACAAGCUCAGUGAUCACUCCUAGAGGUAACUAUCUCCAUUUUUUAUCAGUGCUAACUCCAUCUAAAUAUGAUUUAAGAAAAACAAUAGGUUUGCUUUUGAGCUUCUUGCUGGAGAGUGGGCAGAUUAGUCACCUACUGUUUCCCACCCUGUUCUUGAUUAAAUAGGCUUUGUUCCAAUGUAUAUAAGAUGUUCAUACAGGUUAGCCUGUAAUGUUUUACCUGAUUGCCAAGUUUGGGCAUCUUCAGAGUUAUUAUCAAUUUGAAAUUAUUGUUUGUGGGUUUAGGCAUGUUCAUGUAUCAUUCCAGUCAAAUAGAUAGAUGGUUCAGAACUGUUCCGAGUAACGCAGUGGUUUGACGUAUAGCAUUUAACUUCUUUUGUGCUUUCUGCUCAUCAGAAUAUUUAGGAUAAAAAUGUGAUUAAUCAAUUAAUGUGUGGGGCUGUGUUUUUUCAAAAGAUGCAGAAUGUUUACAACAAAGAACUCAGGAUGAAACCUACUACUGAGCACAUGGUGUAUAUGUGUGUGUCUUGAUUGGACAUCUAUUUUUGGUGCCAAGUUUAUUGCAUUGAGCCUUUUUUUUUCCGGAUAGCUGGAUAUCUAGAAAGGGACAACGACAAAUUAUUUUUCGGCAUCUAAUUGCCAAAGUAAUCACACUGAGUUCCCCCAUCUUACUCUCUCAGAUCUACUCAAUAGGUUUAACACAUUUUUUGAAUGUUCUUUCUGUUUUCUUUUAAAUAUUUUGAGCAGGCUUGCGUUGCAGAAAAAAAACUAAUUUAACAGAGUCUUUCCUACAUCAAUUUACAAAUGCAUGAAUCUCUUUUAGAUGGGACUUGCUUAGUUUUCUUUAUAAAUUUAGGUCAUUAUCACUCAACCUAAUGAUCCAUAUAAUAUCUGGAUUCUUAUGCAAGGGCAAUGGUUGAGAAAAUUGCAUGACAGAAGGAAAAACACAGUGAUCGAACGGGAGAAGUGGGCAAAAUCGUUCCUCGUGUGUCUUCUUUGACGUGUUCAAGACAAUUUUUUUUUCUAAGCAACGCACGGCCAUUUCAACUAGUAGUGUUUACUAUCCCUUAAUUCCCUCGUUAACAAAAGGCUUCGUACGUCGUCUCACCAACUUCCGCACGAAAAAAAACCCGCAGCAAAAACCGUUUCCUCCGUACAUUUAAAGGCAAUAGAUCAAUUAGUCCCUGAUUACCUCCCGAUAAACUAAUCCUUAAUCCCCAGAUUUCCUCCAUCUUCCAGCUUUGCAUCUCCCUGCACCUGGGCUGCUCGUUCACGACCGCCACCCCUGCGCAACCGUCCGCGAUCUGCACAGAACAAACGACGACCGGGCGAUUUCAACGCUGGGUUUUCGAUUUCAAAGCACUUUGACAGGGCGAGGUCGACCAUGUCUGAUCAACCGCGACGGCGUCAUGCUACAUCGCUGCCGCAAGUAAUGGAUGAAAAUUCGACGCAAGGAAGAAUUCAAGAUGGGUGUACUAAUCGCAGCCGUGCUGCUCACGCUGCUCUAGACGACAUUACUAACAAGGAGACUCAGCCGUCCAUUUCGACACAAGUUCAAGGAUCCCCAAAUGUUAAGGACAAAAAAAACAGGCUAGAAGGGAGCUAGACCAAGCCCGCCGGGAUAAGCAAACACCCAAGGAGAGGGGGGCCAUAAAUGCCCGGCGACGGGAGCAAUACAGGUCCCGACGAAAUGGUUUGGCAUCUGAAGAUGUCAGGUCUACUUCUCGCAUGCGUGCUCAGAGGUCCAAUUUGACACAAGAGCUUCUUGAAAUACCCACCCAGCACCCAAGAAUUGAACAUCCCACGCAAAGUAAUCUCACCUUUCUGAGUGAAGAUCAAGAUGGACAAUUUCCAGAUGUUUGCAGAACACCCGAUGACCAGGGAAAAAAAAGAGGCUUCAAGGGAGCGAUACCUUGCCUGUCGGGAUAGUCAAACACCCGAGGAGAGGAAGGCCAUCAACGCCCGUAGACGGGAGCAAUAUAGAGCCCAACGAAAUGGUUUGACACCCGACGAGGUUGUGGCCAUAAGGCAACGAGACAGAGCAUGCCGGGAUAACCAAACACCCGAGGCGAAGGAGGCCAGCGCUGCCCGUAGAAGGGACCGAGACAGAUCACAACGAAAUAGUUUGACACCAGACGAGAGGGAGAAGAAUAGCGCAAGUCGGAAUGCAAAACUUGCGGCUAGGAGAGCCACACCAUGCCCUGAAUCCAUCGCGAUGCCAUGCCCAUAUCAAUCUGCCUCCGGCCAGGCGACAGGCGCUCCGGCUUCGCUUGCCUCCUAGUCGGGGCCUUCAUCGCCAACGUUCACCAUCGGAACUGACGGCACUGAUCAGAUUUAUGGCCUGCUUCUUUUCUAGGCUCCUUGCUUUGUUGUACACUGACCCAUAUCACAACACAGGUGACAAGGACGCUUUCCUGAAGCAUCUCAUGGAGGCCGAGGAAGGAACACCCUUUUCCCGUGUUACAUGUGACAAGGACGCCUGCCAGGAUGGCUCUUCCAAUGAGUUGAUGGAUGAUGAAUACUAUAUUUUUGCUGCUGAAUGUUCUAAUAUCAAAGACAUGGACAUCGACGGGCCAGCAGGGGACUCUCGCGUGAGCGAUGUCAUCGACUCGUUUCAUUUCGUCUACUCCAACAAACCCGACAGAACCCAUAGCCUGAUGGAAGUCGACGACUGCGAUCAUUGUAAGACUAAAAAGUUUGAACAUGAGACCGACGGUUUCUGCUGUCGUGGAGGAAAGAUAGAGCUCGCCGAAGCGGUGCCAGAUCCUGACCCAGAGCUUAUGAGGCUCUGGUCUAACGCUGAUGCGGACUCGCGCCAUUUUCGGAACAGCAUUAGGUUCUUCAACGGUCACUUCUCUUCACGACCCUUGGCGUCAGCCUUGACAACAGAUAUACAAAUAUGAGUUCCGGGGUGUACACGUUUCGGGCACACGGAAUGAUGUACCAUAAUGUGCAUUGUUUCGGGCCUGGGUCGAAGCCAGAACAUCUACAGUUCUACUUCUAUGACGACAACCCCGGUCUAAGCCAUCACGCAGAAGCUACCAGGAUACUGGACCAAGAUGUGGUCAAAAAGGUGGCAAACAUCGUGAGAGGAAACCCCUACUCCGAGACGUUUAGGAGUCUAGGAGCAUGUGUGGGCAGCCUCGUAGAGUAUCGUAUCGACCUAAACACCGACAAGAAGCUAGAUCAACGGACAUACAAUACUCCGAUUGCUUCGGAGAUGGUGCUAUCUGGGUGGAGGGCACCGACUAAGCGAGGAGGUUUCAACGCAGCAUCACUCUAUACGGGGACAACAACGAGAGGUAUGGCAUACAUGCCACACAAGGCUGCUACGACCCGCUCUUGUACCCGCUGUUCUUCCCAAAGGGGGAGCUCGGGUGGCAUCCCAACAUCCCCAAAUGAGGCGUAAAUUGGGAACUUACCCAACGGUCAAGGGUGUCUAGCACCGACGAUCCAGAUGGAGGUCAUCAUCUAUGUGUAUCUGUCAGGGACUACUACUGUUACAGGUUACAGACGCGACCUGCGAUAUUCAACCCGAUAUUGCAUGGAGCACGGUUGUUCCAACAGUACGCAGUCGACAUGUACAUAAAGAUCGAGGGCACUAGGUUGAAAUGGUUUCGGGACAACCAGCCACUGAUUCGAGCUGACCUGUACAAAGGAGUGGUUGAUAGCAUCACAGCCGGGGAGACUCAAGCGAGCCAGAUCAGCAAAAGAAUUGUGCUCCCAUGGUCAUUCCAAGGAGGUCAGGACAGAGACCAGCCCAGAUGAUGUCGGUGGCAUGCAUGCAGCCGCCAGAAUUCUUACAGCAAGAGGUGGUAUGACUUCUCAUGCCGCCGUCAUGGCACGUGGUUGGGGCAAAUGUUGUGUCUCCGGAUGUUCCAGCAUCCAUGUAAAUGGUAUUGAGAAAGUGAAGUUGUCGCUGCACAUAUCCAAGAAAUGCUUUCUUAGGCACAACGGUUCAUAUGUCCUUGCAAGAAUGGAGAA